AACGAAAAGCAUAGUCUCAAAAACUCUCAACGCUCUUUUGUUUGAUCCGAUCUAGUGAAUACCGGUCAGGGACUAUUUCGAUGUUGAAUGCGAACCGGUCAAGGAAACCCUUGGCCAAUGUUUUCCAACCAGUCAACUUUUUCGGCUCCUGAGACAUGAACCACUCCAAGGCUUCACCAUUCAAACUUCGACUGAAUAGGCGCAUCAAUAACGCCUCAUUUUUCC
rnacentral:lncRNA from 1 species